rfam:Picea glauca, whole genome shotgun sequence.
AAUGUAAUGAAUACAAUUUUAAUGCAUCGGAUCCCAUUAGAACUCCACAAUUAAGUGCGCUUGGGAUAGAGUAGUACUGGGAUGUGUGACCUCCCAAGAAGUCUUAGUGUUUUACAUGC